rnacentral:tRNA from 1 species
GCCGAAGUGGCGGAACUGGCAUACGCGCUACGUUCAGGGCGUAGUGGCCCUUGGCCUUGUGAGUUCAAAUCUCACCUUCGGCACCA